UACAGAGGGUGCAAGCGUUAAUCGGAAUUACUGGGCGUAAAGCGCGCGUAGGUGGUUUGUUAAGUUGGAUGUGAAAUCCCCGGGCUCAACCUGGGAACUGCAUCCAAAACUGGCAAGCUAGAGUAUGGUAGAGGGCGGCGGAAUUUCCUGUGUAGCGGUGAAAUGCGUAGAUAUAGGAAGGAACACCAGUGGCGAAGGCGACCACCUGGACUGAUACUGACACUGAGGUGCGAAAGCGUGGGGAGCAAACAGG
rnacentral:rRNA from 1 species